rfam:Paraliobacillus sp. PM-2 genome assembly, contig: CONTIG000002
UCCAAUGGAUGUUUGACUAAGGACGUCACGUCCUGUGACAACGUCGAACUGACCUUCAUCAUGAAGG